rnacentral:rRNA from 1 species
UAGGGAAUCUUCCACAAUGGACGCAAGUCUGAUGGAGCAACGCCGCGUGAGUGAAGAAGGUUUUCGGACCGUAAAGCUCUGUUGUUGGUGAAGAAGGAUAGAGGUAGUAACUGGCCUUUAUUUGACGGUAAUCAACCAGAAAGUCACGGCUAACUACGUGCCAGCAGCCGCGGUAAUCGUAGGUGGCAAGCGUUGUCCGGAUUUAUUGGGCGUAAAGCGAGCGCAGGCGGAAGAAUAAGUCUGAUGUGAAAGCCCUCGGCUUAACCGAGGAAUUGCAUCGGAAACUGUUUUUCUUGAGUGCAGGAGAGGAGAGUAGAACUCCAUGUGUAGCGGUGGAAUGCGUAGAUAUAUGGAAGAAUACCAGUGGCGAAGGCGGCUCUCUGGUCUGCAACUGACGCUGAGGCUCGAAAGCAUGGGUAGCGAACAGGAUUAGAUACCCUGGUAGUCCAUGCCGUAAACGAUGAGUGCUAAGUGUUGGGAGGCUUCCGCCUCUCAGUGCUGCAGCUAACGCAUUAAGCACUCCGCCUGGGGGAGUACGACCGCAAGGUUGAA